rnacentral:rRNA from 1 species
UACAGAGGGUGCGAGCGUUGUCCGGAAUCACUGGGCGUAAAGGGCGCGUAGGCGGCUUGAUAAGCGUGCGGUGAAAGCCCGGGGCUCAACCCCGGGUCGGCCGUGCGAACUGUCGAGCUGGAGCACUGUAGAGGCAGGUGGAAUUCCGGGUGUAGCGGUGGAAUGCGUAGAGAUCCGGAAGAACACCGGUGGCGAAGGCGGCCUGCUGGGCAGUGGCUGACGCUGAGGAGCGAAAGCUAGGGGAGCAAACGGG